rnacentral:rRNA from 1 species
ACAAUUUUCAACAAUGGAUCUCUUGGCUCUCGCAUCGAUGAAGAACGCAGCGAAAUGCGAUAAGUAAUGUGAAUUGCAGAUUUCAGUGAAUCAUCGAAUCUUUGAACGCACCUUGCGCUCCUUGGUAUUCCGAGGAGCAUGCCUGUUUGAGUGUCAUUA